rnacentral:rRNA from 1 species
CAGUAGGGAGGAAGGUAGUGUAGUUAACACCUGCAUUAUUUGACGUUACCUACAGAAGAAGCACCGGCUAACUCCGUGCCAGCAGCCGCGGUAAUACGGAGGGUGCGAGCGUUAAUCGGAAUUACUGGGCGUAAAGCGCAUGCAGGCGGCCUGUUAAGUCAGAUGUGAAAGCCCGGGGCUUAACCUCGGAAUUGCAUUUGAAACUGGCAGGCUAGAGUCUUGUAGAGGGGGGUAGGAAUUUCAGGUGUAGCGGUGAAAUGCGUAGAGAUCUGAAGGAAUACCAGUGGCGAAGGCGGCCCCCUGGACAAAGACUGACGCUCAGAUGCGAAAGCGUGGGGAGCAAACAGGAUUAGAUACCCUGGUAG